UCAAGGUCACCUACUUCCGCCAUUUUGCAAACUUAUCGAAAUUUUUGUUCUAUUUUGUCAAUUUUCACCGUUCCGAUGUGGUAUGAAAUAUUGCCAAGUUUCGGCAUCGUUUUAGGAUGCAUAACUAUGCCACUAGUAUUCAAUGCAGCCCUCAAUAAUUUAGUGCGAGGAAAGAAUUCUGUGAGAUGGUGGGACCUGGAUAACCGUGACUUCCACAUGUUUCUGCGCGAUCGACGGCUGACAGGCAAUGAAUACGUAGUCAAGGGUCUAGAAUCAUUGCCUGAUGAUGAUUAGGUUGAAUUUAUUCAGUGGGUAAAGACUGAUGACAUUUUUGUCAUAAAUCACCAUCAUUGAGACCAUUCAGCAAAAUAGAUGACCAAAAUAUCUUCUGGAAUACCGCAGGAUUUAGCAUUCAUUGGAUUAAAUAUAGUUCAGGUGUGUUUUCAGAAUAAGAAUAUUAACCUUCAGUGACAAAUGUUUGGAAAUAACAUCAACAUUUUGAGUGCAGUGACAGUCUCUGGAGUAGUCAGUCAAUCUUUGUACAAGCCUACAAUAACUUCGAUACAUGCACAUCCAAUAUCGCAUCAAAAACGUAUGAAAAGAAGUGACAAACAUAAUUUAAAAAAAUAAAUUCCCAUCCCAAUGUUUCUAGUGUCUCAUAUAUUGUAUAUAUUAUGCAUAGUUUUGUUUUCAUGGUGAAUAAAUUGUAAUUUAAAUGUUAGAAAAUA